UGAGCAGGAUGAGAGGAGCGAGAUUGGCGGCGUCCGCCGGCUUUGCGUUUUGUUUGGCGAAUUGGCGAGUGUGGACAUUGGCAAGGCGACGCCUCGGUCCUGCCUCCAGCCUCCUCCCAGCCUAUCAGCUCCUGCACGCCGCCAUCCCUGCACCGUAGAGCAGCCCCGCACGGUCAACACUCCGCGGCCGCGACCCGGCGCCGCUCCCUGCCCCGGCAGCCGCGCUGCGCUGCGCUACUAGGCGAGGGUCAGAAUCUAUCCACCACACCCACCACCCCCGUCUCAGUUCACCACUAUCUGAUGUUGGAAGAAACUGCAGAUGCUGCUUUAAAGACAAAAUGCUGGAGUAACGCAGCGGGGCUGGGCAGCAUCUCUGGAGAGAAGGAAUGGGUGAGGUUUGGGGUCGAGACACUUCAGACUGAGAGUCAGGGGAGAGGGAGACACAGAGAUAUGGAAGCGUAAGUGAGCCGGGGGCCUUGCCUGCAGAACUGUCAACAAAAUGAAUACACAGACUGGACGACGUUGCGGAUGUAAAGUUAUGCAAAUCACAGGAGCUGCAGAGAACAAAAGAUGAUUCACCAAUCAAAACUAAUUGAAAGAAAAAAAUAAAAUAUUGGGCUUUAUCUCCAAGGAACUGAAGUGCAACAAGGAAGAUUGUAUCCUUCGAUUUGAUUGAUUCUUAAUUGGACUGCAUCAGAUUAUUGUAUUUGAGACCACUCCGUAUACUGGAUAUUAAGGUGUUAAUGAAUAACUUUAUAUAAAAAAGGGGCUGAAUCAACUUGAUCUGUACUCCCUUCUGCAUGCAACACCCAGAGAUGAUCUAACCAAUGAACAAAGAUGGCUCAUCAUGCCCUAGUCUCACUGUUGCAAUCAGGCAAGAGGUACAGGAGCCUGAAGUCACACAAUACCAGGUUCAGGAUCAGUAAUUUUCCUACAAUUAUCAGGAUUUUGAGCCAACCUGCACAACCUGAAUCCUACCAUAACAACGGAACUCUAGGGACCACCUCUGGCACUACCAUGGACGUUAUUUGUUUCUAAAUUGUGUUUUGCGCGGAUGCCUUCUUUUUGCACUUCUUUCAUCUUUACUAUCUAACAGAAAUUUAAGUGUAACUCGUGAAAUGUAUUUAUAAUUUAUGUUUUUGUGUGUGAAUAUCUGCGUUUGUAUGCCUUGCCGACAAUGCUGCUGCAAGCAAGAUUUUACUUGUACCUGUACAACACCGUACUAGUGUACAUGACAAUAAACUCAACGUGACUUGAUAAACUUAGUUUAAUGAAGAUUGAAACUGUAUCCUCUGAUGAAAGGAUUCAUGGCAGAAAAGGGCAAUAAUGCCCUUCCUCAAAUUAGGAAACCAAAUCGCACACAAAACCCCAAGUGAGGUCUCACCAGGGCCUUGUCCAGUUUCAGUAGACCUCCUUGUUCCUAAACACAAAUCCUCGCGCAGUGAAGCCCUGAUCAUGGCUAAUCUCAACUCUUCAGUUCCUUCGAACCAAGGUAACCUUUCACCCGGAUGAAUGAUCCCGACAUGAAAUGUUGUCUAUACAUGUUCUCCA